AUCCCUAUGGCGCAGUGGUUAGCGCGCCGUUCUUAUAUGAGAACUCCACUUCUGUGGAAUCUUGUAUGAAAUACGAGAUGCGGAUGUCGAGGGUUCGAUCCCCUCUAGGGAUA